GCAGAAAUAUUUCAGUUCAAUUAGGUUGACAAUCAUAUUUGAGUUUCUGGUACCAAUAUACUACUCUCUGAUACGCAAUAUAAAUAAUAUCUGUAACCUAGUGUUCAUUAUCCAUGAAGUAUAAAUAAUCUUUUCAAAAUUGUUUGGAAAUGAACCAGUGGAUAUGCAUUCAGAAUUACUUUAGUUAAAACUCAAGACAUAUUAAAUGUACAUAGUACGUUCAUGUCCUUCUUUAUUUUGUCCUGUCCCCACUUUGGUUGUUGCCUGGCUGGUUCCCAAAGCAAUUCCGAAUUCCAGCAUGCAGAAUUUUAUGUGAAACUUACCUAAGACAAAGGAUGUUUUAUUUUUUCAAUGACCACUUUCUUUCAUGGCUUGGCACAUAAAAGAUGUAGACUUUCUCACUCUAUUUCUGAAUAAUGGAUUUUAAAACCAUAUUAGACAUCUCCAACAUAAUAUAAACUGAGGGAGUACAUGGUAGAGUAUCUUAGGAAUGUCCUGCCAGUAAACACAAGUAAUUAAUCAACCCACACAUUUUUUUUUGUUAGCCUAAUUUACUCCCAUGAGAUACAGCAGUAGUAAAAUUCAUUCAUCCAACAUUCUUUAAUACUUGCCAGAUAAGAAGGGCUACUUGCCCCCACUUCAGUGACAGGUUAAUAGUUCUAUUUUGGAAAUGUUUGUCUAAAUCCAAGAACUCAGGCUCAGUGCCAUUUAUUUAUUUGGGAGAUUGUUGGCAGGAAAGUACUAUACCCUUACCUGGCAGGAGUAGUGCGGGUGAGGAUUUUGCCUUCAUUUUCAUUUGUGCUUAAUUCAAUCUGAUAGAAAAUAGCUGCAGAGCACAAGUGAGAAGGAAUAUAUACAGAAUUUUCAAGGAAGAAAAAUAAAAUUGGUGUUAAAAUUAACUUCACUUCAACAUCUAAAGUGAAGUCUCAUUAUCCUGUGUACCUCAAGGACAUAUUCUCCAAACUUCUCAGCUAUUUCUGAGGGGCUCUCCACUUAUAUUUCAACUUCCUUCUUUGUAGCCCCAGAUAUAGGCUUACACCUCCUGGCUUGACUGCUUCUCUGAUGCUAUGAACUCUACAUUCAAGUUUCAAGCCAAUAGAGCUCCAAACAUACAAUUUCUCUGUAUCACAUUCACAAUGUUCUCUAGGCUUAAAGGGAGAAGAGUGACCUCCACCCCUCCUGCACUGGAGUAUAUUUCUCUCUCUUAAGACAACCCUCAAUCUACCUCCUAUUUAGUGAUGUUUCCACAUUUACUGUGCAUUUCAGGUAACAGCAGCCACAGGUGGUUACAUCUAUCCUUGCUUUGUACUGUCUAGCUCAACUACCACCACACCUAACUGUACCAUGCCAUUCUACUCCAGUGGCCAGAUGCCAGAUGGGCACUAAGGUGUCUGGCACCAUCCACAGACUGACCAGUAUAUGCCAUAGCCUAGUGCAAGUGCAAGAGGCCAACUCAAUCAGUCUGCCUUUGAAUGCUAGAUCUGGACACCAGAAAAUCUGGACACCAAAAAUCAAGAUGUCCACAUAAGUCAUACUUUCAGGCUGCCCUGAUUAUUUCUCAAGUACCUCAUAGCUAAAAUGUAAAAGGCCUAGCUAUUUUUAAAAAAAUUUUAAAUAGCUCUGAACCCGAGAAUGCUUUAAGUUCACAGUAAUAUAGAUGAAAGCUAAAAUGUCAAAGGUACAGCUAUAAUAACUUAAAAGACAAGUACCUUUGUGAAUCAGAAAUAAUCUAGAAAGAGUUUUAGAAAAUAUAUAAAUCUAUGGUCAUUCUUGGAUCUGGCUGGAGAAGCAGGCAGAACCAGCUAAAUGAUAACAUUGACUUUUUGAUAUGCCAUUCUGCAUACCGGUCUCACAUUCAGGCUGGUAACAGGACGGGUGCAGUUGUUCCUGCCAUCGCAUCUCAUAUUCACAUAGGACCGUAUUAAGAAUAUAAAAAAACUAGAGGAGCACCUAGGUCUCCUUCGUAAGAAAAUCUUUCUGGAAUGCCUCCACGUAGACUUCCCUAUAUAUCCUAUUGGCCAGAAUUUUGUUCUAUAUCCAUUCUUUACCUGAUCACUGGGAAGGCAGAAGGAAUUGCCAUAACUGGAAGAAAAAAACAACCUGUGGAAUAGAAUGUUUGGGAAGAAUCCAGCAAAAAUGCCCACCAUGAUACAUCUUUUGCUCAUACAUUAUGUUAAAAAUGCUGAUGUCAAAAUUAAACACACUCAGUCCUUCUUCAAAUAGAAACAACUCAAAGUUUCAUCCUUGGUCAAAUUCAGUAUUUUGCAUGAUGUGUAAUCCUCAUCACAUCUCUGCUCAGUUUUUCAUGUUCUAUAUCAGAGGUCAGCAAAAUAUGGCCCUAUAGCCAAAUCUGGCCUGCUGCCUGUUUUUGUGUGGCCCACAAACUAAUGUGUGUGUGUGUAUGUGUGUUUACAAUUGUUAAUGUUUACAUUUAAAACAAGAAUAAAUCAUAUUCUUUGUUUUUCCUUUUGUCCUGGAAAUUCUAAAAUAUUUACCAUAUGGUCCUUUGCAGAAAAUGUUUGCCAACUCCUGUUCAAUGGGACUUUGAAUGAAAAGACAAGUUUUCCACCCCAAUAUAACCAAUAUACAAUGAUACAUCAUUUUAAAAAUGUAAUUCUAAAAAGGGAUUGUUGGGUGACACUCUUACAUGAAUUUUGUCCUAAUAUUGGUCUUUGUGAGGGUGGUGGCCAAUGCUCCUUGGAAUGUCCUGCCUAUUCUUUUUUCCUAAUGUGGCCUUACGUAAACUGAGGUCAUGGAAGCAUGAAAUCCAAAAUUUUCUAACAAGGCUUCCAAGGGUGGAUCUUAUUUGUUUCAGUAGAACAAAACUUGCUAUUCUAAUGGUCUCUCCACUUUUCCUUCUGCCUCUGAGCAAGAUGAAGAAAAAAAGAUGAAGCUGUUUUCCAGAGACCAGCACUUCAUCCCUGAGAAAAUGUCAAGAUUAUAGGCAUGCUCUAUAGAAGAUAAUGAGUUAAUACCGAAUGGCUAAAUCAGGGGAGUAUUUGAUUGGGGUUCCCAGAAACCAACAAGAUGUGGAUUCAUAUUCAAAUGCUUCCAGGAGAAUCAAGUAAGGAAGUUAAGAAAGAGAAAGAAAGGAAACAAAGGAAAAAAAUGGCAGCAUACUGAAACGGUAAAUGGAAAGGCCAUGUUUUUUGAGUGACACCAUUAGAGUAAAAACUAGCCAGAGGCAUCUGGUGGACAAGCAUCUGAGCCACACAGGAGGGAAGUCCUGUCCAUGAGAUGCAUUCACGUACUAAAGCAGGUGUUUUACCUAACAUCUCUGUGUUGCCAGGUUUUGCAGCCACUGAAGUUAUUGAUCACUUUUCAAAAAUGUCUCACUUUGCAUAUCGACUACCCUCCGUUGCUCCCUGCUAGUUUUUAAAUCUGCACUUUGGGGCACUAGAAGUGACUGAAAUAUCAGUUAAGUCCUAUUUGACAAAUACGUAUUUAGAGUAACCAAUUCAAUAGGGCCAUAAAGAAACUACGGGGUUAGUGCUAGUUAAUAUUGAGACAUCAGUUUUGGGAAUUUUGCUGUUUAUUGGUGGAAGCUACAACGAGAUUUUGUGUAGUUUCUAUUAAAACAAUAAAAUAUUAUCUGAUUCAUAAUUCAGUUCAAAAUACGCUUUAAUGUUUUGCUAGAUGUGUUGGACACUCAGCUUCUAUUUCCAUGGGCUGAAUAAUUGAUGUUUACAUUUCCCAGACAUCCAUACAGUUAGGGUUCUAAAAGUAAGUUACAUCUUCCACUUGGAUUUGGAACAUUUCCUCAUUCCAGGUUCCAGACCGCUAUAUCAACAGACUCGUAGAAUGUUACUGAACACACUGAACACACUGUUUGGUGGUGAACAGAUGGUGGCUAAGAAGUUGCUCAUGGUUCCUGGGAGUCCUAACCAGGGCCUGAUACGGCAAACCUUUCAAUGAUUUGUAAACUCCUAGUGUAUCUUAUCUCCUUAAAACACAUAAACACGUAAAACUGUGUCUCCUUAAAACACAGCAUGGUUUUGUUUUCACCACUGAGCCCAAAGUAAUUAAAACGAACUGCUAUCACAUUCAUUUGUGUGUGUGUGUGUGUGUGUGUGUGUGUGUCUGUGAUUUGCAAAAUGAUAUAAAUAGGUAGAUAACAUUGUUAAAUAGAUAAAGCCUUAGAAGACGAGAGGAUACAAAUUAAUAUUUAUUAUACCUGUGUUCACUACAACAAUCCAGUUUGUGUUUUGCACUGUAAAUCCCAAAAUGUGUUAUAUUAUUUUUGUCAACUAGCGUUGCCAACACAAAGCCAAUAUAAGUUGAUUUUACAAGAGUAUACAUAUAAUAUUUAACAGCUGGGUUUGAAAAUAAUUCAGGUUUUAAAGUUGGAAGUAUCUUCGCUUUUAGUAGGUAAAGAAAUAAAAAUCUGAGAGGAAGGAUUAGGUGAUGUAAUUUCUUCUGUUUGAUACUUAAAUUCCAUAAGAGUCUAUAUUUGAGAAAUAUAAAAAUAUUGCUGAGUAGCACUUUUCUGGGACUUUGAGAAGUGUGGGAGACAGAAUGCACUUUACGAACAUUUUUUAUGCCUUGUAAAAAUAGCACUACAUAUAUAUGUGUUUAACUCUACAUAGCAAUGAACUUACUUUCUCUCUGCUUUUUAUAUUCCUUUAUGGUUUACUACCUUAGGCAUUAAAUCAAGAAUUUAAUAUGUUGAGGGGAAAGGGUUGCAUAUCAAAAGUUUCUUUCUUCAAGCAAAUAUGUGGUGGAUUCCCACAUGUCUACUGAAAUAAAACUAGGGAAUAAUAUGUAUGUGUAUUACAAUAUUCUUUUCAAGACUUUGGCAGGAGAAUUAUUUAAGUAUGUCAUUCUAUCUUGAAAGCCAACUAUGGGUUUAUGAGGGGGAGGGGAAUACAUCUAUACAUUAAUUCUUGCAAGGUUAAGAAGUUUUGGGUUUGAGUCUCGUAGCACUAAUUAAAAUUUUGUGGUUUUCAACAAGUGAUGCAUUACAUUUGAUUUAUUCUGCAUUGAAGAAGAAAGAAUAUCAUCUCUCAUCUCAUCUAAUGUUUAUCAAUCGGUUAAUGUGAGGAUCGAAUGGGUGAUUCAAGAUGUUGAUGCAUAUUCUCUAAAAAGAGGAAUUCUCCACUCUUAAUUGAUAUCAAAGGUUUUAUUAGUCCAUUUUCCCAUUGCUGAUAAAGACAUAACUGAGACUGGACAAUUUACAAAAGAAAGAGGUUUAAUGGACUCAGAGUUUCACAUGGCUGGGGAGGCCUCACAAUCAUGGUGGAAGGUAAAAAGCACGUCUCACGUGGUGGCAGACAAGAGAAGAGAGAACUUGUGUAGGGAAACUCCUCUAUAUAAAACUGUCAGAUCUUGCGAGACUUAUUCACUAUCACAAGAAUAGCACGGGAAAGACCUGCCCUCAUGAUUUAAAUACCUCCCACUGGGUUCCUCCCACAACAUGUGGAAAUUGUGGGAGCUACAAUUCAAGAUGAGAUUUGGGUAGGGAUACAGCCAAACCAUAUCAUAGGGGAUGUCCCUCUCCUAUUAACAUUUUUUAAAAUUAAGCCCUUAGUGAAUCCACUAUCCUGAAGUUCUUCCAUCCUACUGUUCUCAAAGCAGACACUAAAACUAAGGCUUAAAUGCAAAUGGUUUAUUUUGGUCUGUGAUUGGGAAUUAAAGGAAAAAGGAGUGAAGGUAACCAGGAGGCACUCUGGAAUUGAGUUGAUGCCACUGUGAACAACUGGGCUUGGAUUCUACUGGGCACUUCUGAGAUGCUCUUAAAAAUGCACCUCAGAAUUGUCUGCUCAACUUCACUGCAGGAAGGGAGGAUUAGCUCUUGGGCUCCCCUUCUCCAUUUAAUAAAUUUUGCCUCACCGGGCAUUAGCUCCCUCAUAAGCCCAAGUUGCACAAGGGCCAGAGGUAAAAGGCAUACAAUGCAGCUGAAGUGAAGUGCCACCACAUAACACUUGUGCAAAACUGGUGGCUGUGGCAAAAAUUAAAGAAAAGGUGAUCCAUGCAGAUGUGAGCAGGGGACAAGAGUGUCUUACAUAGCCUGCUAUACUUGGAGAGAACAGAAAAUGUAUCAUAAUGCUCCAGCCAUUUCAUUUGAGUCUCAUGCUGAACAAACCUGCUUCCUCAGCACAGUGAAUGAACUCUCAGCUCUGCUAUAUUUGCUAUUUUAAUACUUGAGAUAUGCUUCUUCUAUGGAAGAUCCACAUGUAUUGACUCUCCCUCUAUAGGAUGAACACUUACAUAUUUUGACAGUUAAUGAUAGGUGUCAACUUGGCUGGAUCAAGGAAUGUCUAGAAACCUGGUACAGACUUCUUCUGGGGUCUGUCUGUGAGGGUGUUUUCCCGAGAAGAUUUACAUGUGAGUUUGAGUGGACUAAGCAGGAAGAUCUGCCCUCAGUGUGGGCAGGCAUCAUCCAAUCUACUGGGGAUCCAAAGAGAACAAAAAUAGAGAAUAGGUGUAUGUGUCAAUCUAUCUGCUACAACAAGAAUACACUCUUUCUCUCCUGUCCUUGGACAAAUCUGGGCUCCCCAGCCUUUGGACUUAAGAUUUGAACUCCAAAACUUAAGACCAGUGUCCUCCCAGGUUCUCACACCUUUGGCCUCAGACCCUGAGUUACACCAUCUGUUUUCCUGGUUCCAGGCCUUUGGACUUAGACUGAGUCAAGCUACUGGCAUCUCAGGGUCUCCAGAUUGCAGGUGACCUGUCAUGGGACUUCUCAGCCUCUAUAAUCACAUAAACCAAUCCCCUCAUAAUUCCUGUCUCAUAUAUUUCUAUCUAAUCCUAUUGAUUCUGUCCCUCUGGAAAACCCUGACUGUAUCAGUGUUGAUUUAUAAUUUUUUAAAAUAGUCGCAGAAAUUCAUUUGGGAGAGUAAUUUUUGAUAUCCUCUUAAAAAGUAGGGAACUGAGAUCAAAUAACUUGUCCAAAGUUCCUUUGUAACUUUGCCCUUAGUGUCAAUAUAGUCAGCCCUCCAUAUCUGCAUAUUCAACCAACACUGAAGUAGCUUUAUUGAGUACAAAUGUUCCUUUUACAUUUUUUAAGCACUUGGAAGUUCUCUGAAAAAAAUAAAUAAAUCUGCUAAAAACACAAAUUUUUAUUGGCUUAAAGUAAAUUUUGGUUUUUUGAUUACAUUUUACUAAAAAAAGAUGCCAAAAUAUACUAAUCCUGAAAGAAGAUCUGAUGAGAGAAAAAUAACCAAUAAACUUAAGUCUGCAGCCAUUCUAAGGGCAUUCUGCUACUUUUACUUCCAAGACAAGAAUGAUUUAUCAUUAAAUAUAGUUGAAACUUUAUGGUCUUAUUUGGCUGUUUACCUCACUCACAAAAAUAACUGCCCUAUACAUGACUGUAUUUCAUUGUCCUAAUCUGGUUUCAUGUUUUUUGUUGUUAUUAUUUAGUGUAAAAACUGAAUGCUAACCCAUGUUCAUAUGUGCAUUUUUAAAAGCUAUACCUGUUGAAAUGUUGGAUAUUUUCACUAGCUCUCUUUUAGUCAUAUUAGCCUGUAAAAGUUUAUUGAAGACUAUUCAAUUACUGUACAUUGUUUCCUGCAAAAAAAAGUAUUGAAUUUUUUUCUGACCUCCCUUACUGAGAAUAAUGAAGACCUAGGAGAAUAAGGUACUUAUAUUUCAAAGUCUCUUAAAGUUAUUGCAUUUAUUUUCUUUCACAAAACAAAAGAAAGCAGGAAAGCAAAACCUAGUUUAAAUGAGUUGUUUUAACUAACUACUUCUUGACAGCUAAGAAAAAUUUCUUCCCAGUUGCCUUCUUUCCAACGUACACCAUCUAAUUCUUUCAUAGACAGUAAGAACACAUGGAGAGUGGGGAAGAAUGUAGCUUGCAGAAUUUAGUGAUUUAAUUGGUGGCCUUCUCAAGGGGUGCUACUGGAAUUUAGGCAGUUUCUACCAAAGUCACCCAAAACCGAACUUGAACUGGCUGCAUGAAGUUUUCCUACAUGUUUGUCAUCAAGAGUUCAAGCCGCUGCAGCACUUAGAGACCUGACCAUUCUACUGAAGAAAAGAAAUACUAUAGUAAACUCUAGUUGGUUGUGAAAUGAAUGUUUUCAAUUGCUAGAAGCUAAUGAUAAAAUUUUUCUAGUAAUACAUUGAUUUUUACAUUUACAGAUUUCCAUAGGAUUGACAAAGAUGCCUCUUCAUUUUUGAGAAAAGUCCCUUCAUUGCAAUAUUUUAUGAAAAGUUCUAUGUGUAACUAUUUGGUACAAAGUGUAAAUUUAGGUCUUCUUAAAAUGACUCUACCCUUAAAUAAUUUUGUUUUCAAGGGUCACGUCUCUUGGGUAAUGACUAACGUUCUCCUAGUGAUUAGUAAUAACAAUUAUGUAGAAUGGUGAUUCUUGGUGACUUUCUGUCCCACUGAAUGAAACAACAUAUUUCAAAAUCAAGACUCUGGGACAUUUGGUUCUUCUAAGUCACAUUUUUUCCCCAGUAUAUAAAGUCAAAUUUUUAUGUAAUUUUAUAUAAAUCACUUUUAAAUAAAAAAAAUUAAUAAAAUAUCAACAAGAA
rnacentral:lncRNA from 1 species